rnacentral:lncRNA from 1 species
AGUUUGCGUCAGGUUCAAAAAGAUCACUUCUAGUGGUGUGAUUCUCGUUUUCUUCUUAUCAAUAAUGUAUAUCUUUAUUCUUCCGGUGUGUUGAUGAUCCGAAAAUAUGCAUAAUUUUCAGAUCGACGAGCCCGAUGUAAAGAGGCUGGAUCAUUUUGGUUGUGUUGAAAUGAUUUACAAACUGUUUGGUGAUUGGACGUUGGGGGGCAUAUUAUCCAAAGCCAACAGAAAGUUUGUUUGACUAAAGAGAUACUCAUACGUCGGUAAGGGUCCCCAUUGCAACGGUUGGUAGAGAACAAACCCACGACCGUCGUCGACGACCUUUCAUCAUUAAACGACCUUAACAUAUAUUUAACAUAUUUAUAUAUCUUAAUUUAAUUAAGUUCAUCUUUUGAUGUCAUCUUUCC